rnacentral:rRNA from 1 species
AGAAACUAACAAGGAUUCCCCUAGUAACUGCGAGUGAACCGGGAAAAGCUCAAAUUUUGAAUCUGGCGGUCCAAGGGCCGUCCGAGUUGUAAUCUAGAGAAGCGUCUUCCGCGCUGGACCGUGUAUAAGUUUCCUGGAAUGGAACGUCGUAGAGGGUGACAAUCCCGUCUUUGACACGGACUCCCAGUGCUAUGUGAUGCGCUCUCGACGAGUCGAGUUGUUUGGGAAUGCAGCUCAAAUAGGGUGGUAAAUUCCAUCUAAAGCUAAAUACAGGCGAGAGACCGAUAGCGAACAAGUACCGUGAGGGAAAGAUGAAAAGAACUUUGGAAAGAGAGUUAAACAGUACGUGAAAUUGCUGAAAGGGAAACGCUUGAUGUCAGUCGCAUCGUCCGGGGAUCAGCCUCGCUCUUUUGCUCGGCGUACUUCCUGGUCGAUGGGUCAGCAUCGGUUUCGACCGUCGGAAAAUGGCUCGAGGAACGUGGCACUCUUCGGGGUGUGUUAUAGCCUCGAGUCGAAUACGACGGUCGGGACCGAGGAACUCAGCACGACCUUCGGGUUCGGGGCUUCGGCUCACGUUCGCGUGCUUAGGAUGCUGGCAUAAUGGCCUUAAGCGACCCGU